AUAAAAUAUUUUUGAUUGGAAAUUAUUACAAAAUCUGAUAUAAACAUAUCAGAUUGAAUUCUGAUAUAAACAUAUCAGAGAACAUGAUUAAAUUAGAAUAUGAGGUUAAAUUUAAUACAAUUACAAUUAUUAGCCAUCAAAAUUGGAGAAUGUUUUUGGAGGAUAUAUUUUAUUGCCCUUGUUUGCAAGUCUCUCUCACUGAUGCACCACCUCCAAAUGACCUUGGAUUACCUCAGCUUACAAAAGCCAUCCCUCUGUUUACAAAUGAAACAGGAAUCAUCUUUGUUUUGACAUUGGGAAAAGAUUUAGAGCUGUCUGAAAUGGGAUCUCUU
rnacentral:lncRNA from 1 species